rnacentral:rRNA from 1 species
AUGUUGCCAAUGGAGUUAAAUGGUCCUCCAUUUGGUCAACCAACACCUUCAACACAAGUGCCUACUCAAGAUGAGUUCGAUGACAUAGACAAGCUCGCACUUUUGAGUCUCGAGUUCACUUGGAGUGCCGAGGAUGAUCCUAUUAGGAAGGUUAUACUAGAUGAAAUGAAGAAGAUCAAGAGUGGGAAUGAGCUAGUGGAAGAAGUAAAGAAGAUUGAGAAGAACAUCAACGCUGGCAGUACUAUUUCUUCACAGCUUGAACUGAGUAAUUCUGGGAUUCCCCUUGAUACAUGUGAGGUUCCAAUACCGUCACAUCCAGCUGAGCAAGAUAGCAGGUGCCUUGAGCAUGAGAUACCUCAGAUUGAAGAAGAUGAACUAGAAGACAAGGAACAAGAUGAUCAAGAGCUGCAAUUCCCAAGUGAUCGAGUUGAAGACUCAUCAUCUACUACUCCUGAAGAAGUACAAGAAGCUGAUGUAGAUGAAGAUGAAGAACCUGAGAUUCAUUUGCCUAUUGUCAUACCAGAGCGUGAUGUGUCAGGUUUAUCUAAUCCUCUUAAUGACAUGUCUUCAUAUGAUUUGUUUGCUACUACCUUGCAUUGCAUGAUGCCAUCACUUAAGGUAGAUUUGAAAAACUAUUUGCUUGGACAUGAUCAUACACACCCUGUUAGUGGCAUUGCUCAUAUCUCUGUUCAUGAUACUUAUGUUCCUAUUGCUAUACCCAUGCUUAAUGAAACGUGUGUUCUAAUACUAGCAUUGAGCUUACUAAUUUGUACCAUCCUAAACAUGUGCUUUAUAGCUAUGCUUAUGUAA